AAUUCCUGGCGGGGGGAGCGGGAGGUGGCGGCGCUGAGGGCUCGGAGCAGGAGGCGGAGGGCGGCUCGGAGCCACGGCCGCGCUGCCCUGCCCGGGACCCUGCGUGCUGUGGCGGCCGGCGCCGAGCCAGACCCCCGGCGGGUGCGGAGCGGACGGGCUGAGGGACGCUCGCCGCCACCUCUCGCAGCGCCAGGAGCCGCGCCGUCCCCGCCGCCGCUGGGACUCCCUCCCCGGGCAGAGCGGGGGAGAAUGACGGAGCUCCAGUCCGCCUUGCUACUGCGGAGACAACUAGCAGAGCUCAACAAAAAUCCAGUGGAAGGCUUUUCAGCGGGCUUAAUAGAUGACAAUGACCUUUAUCGAUGGGAAGUCCUUAUUAUUGGUCCUCCAGAUACACUAUAUGAAGGUGGUGUUUUCAAGGCUCAUCUUACUUUUCCAAAAGACUACCCACUGAGGCCGCCAAAAAUGAAAUUCAUCACAGAAAUCUGGCAUCCAAAUGUUGACAAGAAUGGUGAUGUCUGCAUUUCAAUUCUUCAUGAGCCUGGAGAAGACAAAUACGGCUAUGAAAAACCUGAGGAACGCUGGCUUCCCAUUCACACAGUGGAAACUAUAAUGAUUAGUGUUAUUUCUAUGCUGGCAGAUCCCAAUGGUGAUUCUCCUGCUAAUGUUGAUGCAGCGAAAGAAUGGAGAGAAGACAGAAAUGGAGAAUUUAAAAGAAAAGUUGCCCGCUGUGUAAGAAAAAGCCAAGAAACUGCUUUUGAGUGACACUUAUUCAGCAGCUAGUAGCUUCACUUUUUUCAGGGUGAUGAGUUUGGAUUUAUCCAUCUUCUGUUCAGAGGUCUCCAAUUGAGAAACAUGGCACUGUUUUUUUUCCUGCACUCUACCCACCUAUUGCUGGACUUCUGUUGUUACAAGUUGGCAAACACUGGCUGGAACUGGGCUGCAAUAAAAACAUGCCAGUUAUCAAUGCUGACAAGAGCCUAACAAGUGCCAACACAAGAUGAUUACGCAUUUUGAAAUCUAAUGAACUGCUUUAACCUUCAGGAAGAAUUGUAAAGAUGUGUACAUAGCACAACAUGAUCCGGAUAAUAUAUAUACUGUUCAUGUACAUCCACAAAUACACAUUGUACCAAAUAAUGCUGUCUGUAGUUAGGGAUAGAAUUGUGUAAAUUCUAAAGAUUUUAGCAGGUUUUUUUCUCUCCCUGUUCAUUGUUUCCUGAGUUAAAAAAAAGCAAAAAAAAAAAAACAAAAAACAAACAGCAACUUGUGAAGCAUGUCAAAACCAAUUAGGAUACUGAGUUGGGUUUUUUGUUUUGUUUUUUUUUUCCCUCCCACUUUAAUUUUCCUUUGACCCACCGAGGCUUAAUUAAAAUUUCUUGCUUAUUAAAGUUUAGUAUCUCCUUUUUUUUUGUUGUUGUUGGUUUUUUUUGUUGUUUUUUUUGUUGUUGUUUUGGUUUGGUUUUUUUUUGGGUUUUUUUUGUUUGUUUGUUUUUGGGUUUUUUUUGGUUUUUUUUUGUUUUUUUUUUGUUUUGUUUUGUUUUUGUUUUUGGAAAUGUGGUCCCUUUUAUUUGCCCCAUCAGAACUUAAAAUUCUCCUGAUUAAACCCUGAAAGGAUUUGCUAUCAAUUACUUGUGUCUUCUUUUAUGACCUUUGUAGUCUCAAAGGUGCUUUUUUUUCUUCACACCCUGUUUUAAAACCCAAUUAUUCAUCUUUCUUGAAUUUGGUAUAGCAAUAAAACUGGCCAUGGAGCACCCUUGA